GAUAGUGAUGCAAUUCAAAUUGUCCUAAGUCAAAAGGUAUAUGUAUUUGGCUUUUUGUUUUUAAUUUUUUUAACGUUUAUUUAUUUUUGAGACAGAGACAGAGCAUGAACAGGGGAGGGGCAGAAAGAGAAGGAGACACAGAAUCUGAAACAGGCUGCAGGCUCUGAGCUGUCAGCACAGAGCCCGACGCGGGGCUCAAACUCACGGACCAUGAGAUCAUGACCUGAGCCAAAGUCAGACGCUUAACUGACCGAGCCACCCAGGCGCCCCUCAAAAGGAAAAUUCUGUGAGAGGAGAGAAGAAGCACUACCACAAUUUCUUUUGGGGACCUCAUAAACCUCUGGAAAGGGUCGGAUCAGAUGGAAGAGUGUGUGUGGGCAACCAGUCACGCACUGUACUGGCAUCUCUGUCUCCUGCCUCAGUAGCAGCUAAGUUGCCACUGUGAAGGAUAGAAUAAUCAGGGCCAGAAUAUUCUGGGGUUUGGGUCUGGAUAUGAAUAAAAGGAACAAGAAAAGAUAUGAUCAAGAUAUAUGAAAAUAAUUUGGGAAGACUAUUAAAGGAAUGUGUCAUAAUGUGUCAUUGGUAAAAAAAAAUUAACUUUUAUAUCAAAUUUUAAUUUAAUUGCUUGACUAUUUAGCAACUAUAUUAGUUAAAAUAUGCCUUUGCUGUAAAAUCAAAUAAGAAAACUAUAGUUAAAAAUAGGACAAAUUAUUUUACUAUCAUAUUUAAAUUUGGGUUUUAUUUGCCCUUAAGACAAUUUAUUUCAUGUCCAGGAAAUACUCUUUUUUUUGGCUCUGUCACUUUAAGAUCAACCCCCCAAAAGAUUUUCUUGGUAAAUACCAACUUUUACAAUGUGGGAUCUAGACUAGCAUGCAAUGAAUUUAUAUAGUGCAAGAUGACCCUACAAAAACAUAUUUCCAACUCACUCUAUAUUUCAAUUUGUGCAGACUAUUUGAUGACACAUUAGCAAAUUGUAAUAAAUUUCACUCAUGAGAAUUUGGCCCAAUGUCAAUCUAACUUUGAAAAAGAAAAUCAAAGCUGCCCAAUCAAAUGAAUUCUGCCUUGAUAUACUUGUCUUUAAAAAUUGAAAUUUGAUAUCUUAAUGCUUACUGUAUUUAUUGCUCUUCAUUGCAUCUUAACGUGAACAGGUUGUAUUUUACUGAGGAAAAACUCAUAAUAUCUAUACCGGCUUAAUCUUUAAAAACGUGAAAAGAUUUGGUGUUUCUGCAUGGUCCCACAGUACAUUGUUGUUUUUGUGUCUCAUACAUUCUUUUGUUCGGGCAAAGAACAGGGCCAUGAAAGAAGGAGCAGGGAAGGCAUUCUGGUAUGUCUUUUGCUGACUCCUCAAUAGUUGGGGUUUGUAAAAGAUCACAGAUCAGAAAGAAUUUUAAACUCUAGUGCAUUUGAGCUUACAACUUCUGCUUGAGCAACGUGACAAGAGUUUGAGAUGCCCUUCCAAAUGUGCCCAGCUUAAGUUACAAAAAAAAACUGUUAAUAGCCUUGACCUCUUAAACUAUUACAUGAAGAAAAGGCUCUACUUACUUAAGGGCUGCCCUAUUGUAAUCUCUAUCUUUGAAGUGAGUCACGUAUUUAUUUCCUCUCAGGAAAGUUUAAACCAAAAUAUGUUUAGUCAGUAGGAUUACUUUUUACUUGAAGAACCCCAGACAUCUGAGAUUUGGGCAGUAUGAUUGAAAGAUACCAAAUUAAUGCAUUAAUUUGAAAAAUGUGUGCAAAGUGAUGAUCUAGAUUACUACCAACCCACAGAGUCUUCAUGUACUCUCCUGUGUUUAUGCAAAUAGGCAUUCUGUUUGUAAACUGAAAGGAAGUGAAUAAAAAUAAAAAGUGAAUAAAAAUAAUAUGGUUUUUGGCAUAACCACAUGAGACAAUGACCGGCACAGUCAUAAAAACAAGAGAUCUCUACUUGUGGUUUAAACUGGCCAAUGGACAUCCACGAUACUAUUUAACUGAUGAAAAUUUUAUUUAUUAUGCUUACAUUGAGAUUUAAGAAUAUUUGAAAUAUAUUAAGAUUCAGCAGUAAUUGAAAUGAGGACUUGCCAGGAUCAUUCACUG